UACGGAGGGCGCGAGCGUUGUCCGGAAUUACUGGGCGUAAAGGGCGCGUAGGCGGCCUGCUAAGUCGAACGUGAAAUCCCUGGGCUCAACCCAGGAACUGCGUCCGAUACUGGUUGGCUUGAAUCCGGGAGAGGGAUGCGGAAUUCCAGGUGUAGCGGUGAAAUGCGUAGAUAUCUGGAGGAACACCGGUGGCGAAGGCGGCAUCCUGGACCGGUAUUGACGCUGAGGCGCGAAAGCCAGGGGAGCAAACGGG
rnacentral:rRNA from 1 species